ACAGGAAACAUUGUCAAAUAUGAACUGGUGUUUGGGUUUUUUUGGGCUGUAUUUGUAUAAAUAUGGAUAUAUGGGACUAUAAUUCUAAUAUGCUUAGUGUACAUUAUCAGUAAUAAUUAUAACUGUUAUGUUAAGUUAUUGUGUGCCACAGAGGUAAUGAAUUUCCUUGUCAGUUGUGUCCUUGACUAUGGCUGCCCCUAAACUUUUUGUCAUCCAUAGACAAUUGUUGUCUUGUUUUGGUCCUCUUUAGAAGGUGGUUUUAUAAUCAUCUAUAAAACUCUUAACAGGUGCUCUUGAGUACAAGUUUCUGAUAACUUUGGAGAUUGUGACAUCAGAAUAGAGGAAAAACUUUUAGGACUCAUGGAGAAGUGAAAUGUUCAUGAACAUCAGGCAGAACAGGAAUUAACUGCAUGGACAGAACUAAUACAAAACUGAGGUAAUCUUUUUGACUUUUUGCUUAAAAUGCUGCUGAUCCUUUGUUUCGUUUUUCCAGAGUCAGGAAACUUCUUUUGCACUAUUGACAGCUUUUAACAAUUUAGUAUACUCCUAUGAACAAAAUUUAAAAUAUAUUUGUUUCUCUCUACCUGAUUUCUCCAGAAUUUGGAAACUAUUUGUGAAUAUUCUUAACUUAUGGCAACACAGUUAUUUGCAUAAGUGCAAUAAGAAUCUGUUUUCAGACACAAUUGGAGAAACUGGUUAUUUUGCCAAGGCUUUGACUGGAAUGGUGUGCUUUCCUUUAAAAAACCAAACUUGACUUAUGGAGCCAAUAAAAGCCCCUUGGAAAUACUGGCCUCAUACCUAGUCUACACAGUUCCUGUACAGGGUUCCUGACCUGUGGUAAGUGAAGCAUGUCACUUUCUGACAGGCCCAGGAACCCCAAGUUUAUAUUGGAACCUCAAGAGGAGAGGAAUUCACCCAACUCAUAGGUAUUUGAUGGUACAAAUCCAUGGCUGAGCUUGGCUUUUAAAAAGUCUUAUCCGAGAUUCCUUCUAUGGAACAAAUUUCCAUCAAAGCCAAUUUAAAAGCCUAUGUAAAAAAAUAAUUAUUCUUGCUGCACUUUAUAGAAAUAAUCAUGCCAAGUAUAACAAAGCAAAUCGGUCCUACCAUGAUUUCUCUUUAGUAGAAAUGGGAAACUGCAGAGAGAAAAAUUACGUUUCAGAAACUAUAGUACACCUGUUGUUAGACUCUAGCCUUGCCUAAUGUUUUUCAAUUGUUAUUAUUUUUUACAGUUUGGACUGAAUUCUAAUUUUUCUUGGCUACAAGUCUUCAAAAUAAUGUUUUCAAGUUUUUUCCUUCUUUUUUUCCCCCAUUUUUCCUAAUUUGGAGUCACUGAAAACUAAGCUGUGCUUUUGUAAACCCUGCAAACUGAAGCCAGACAACUUAAACUUUAGAAGAAAAUAACAGCAACCUGCUUACAUACAUAAGGCACUUUCAUCCCUGCCUACUGAUAUAUAAACUUCAGAGUAAUGUGGCCUAUAUCGAUUUUCCAGGAUUGUUCUUUUGUUUGUUGUUGUUUUUAUCCCUUCCUCCCCCAUUUUCUCUUCAUAGGACAUGAGACUUCACAACCUGCUAAAAAUGAACUUUCCUAAUAACUGGGGACCUACCCGUCUAGGAAUAAACCAUCCUAGCCAUGACAGAUCAGAUGAAACCUGAGACCAGAGACUCAUUUUCUCCUAAAAUGCUUUCUCCAAAAGAUUUUUAAAAAGAAAAGGGGGAAAAUAUGAAUGGAAAAUAAAUCUUGGGGCCCCAACAUCACUAAGCUAAAGGGAAAAGUCAAGCUGGGAACUGCUUAGGGCCAACCUGCCUCCCAUUCUAUUCAAAGUCACCUCUCUGCUCACUGAGAUAAGUGUAUAUCUGACUGCCUCAUUUGGAGAGGCUAAUCAGAAACUCAAAAGAAUGCAACCAUUUGUCUCUUAUCUACCUAUGACCUGGAAACCCCCUCCGCACUUUGAGUUGUCCCACCUGUGAAAGGAAAAUAAAUCUUGGGGCCCCCAAAUCACUAAGCUAAAGGGAAAAGUCAAGCUGAGAACUGCUUAGGGCCAACCAUCCUCUCAUUCUAUUCACAGUCACCCCUCUGCUCACUGAGAUAGAUGCUAUCUGAUUGCCUCCUUUGGAAAGGCUAAGCAGAAACUCAAAAGAAUGCAACUUUCCAUCUCUCACCUAUCUGUGACCUGGAAGCCCAGUCCCUGCUUUGAGUCUUCCUGCCUUUGCUUCAAGCUGUCCCGCCUUUCCAGACCAAACCAAUGUACUUCUUACAUAUAUUGAUGUCUCAUGUCUCAUGUCUCCCUAAAAUGUAUAAAACUAAACUGUGCCCCUACCACCUUGGGCACAUGUCGUCAGGACUUCCUGAGGCUGUGUCAUGGGCACAUCCUCUACCCUGGCAAAAUAAACUUUCUAAAUUAACUGGGACCUACCUCAAAUUAUCUGGGUUCACACGCCUUUGCCUCGAGUUGUCCCACCUUUCCGGACUGAACCAAUGUACAUCUUAACACAUACUGAUUGAUGUCUAAUGUCUCUCUAAAAUGUAUAAAACCAAGCUGUGCUCUGACCACCUUAGGCACUUGUCAUCAGGAUCUCCUGAGGCCAUAUUAUGGGUGCACGUCCUCAACCUUGGCAAAAUAAGCUUUCUAAAUUAACUGAGACGUGUCUCAGAUUUUCGGGAUUCACAAUCUCCACUCUUCACCAAACCUACAAUAAAAAACCCUCAGCUUCUCAGCUUUAACUGUUUCUUCGGGUCUUCAUUUUCUUAUGAAGGUUCAUGUGUCACAUAAAACUUUAAAAAAUUUGUACACUUUUCUCUCAUUAAUCUGUCUUCUGUUAUAGGGCCUCAGCCAUGAACUUGGAAUGGGUAGAUUAAAAAAAAUAUUUUUCCUCCCCUACACAUUUUUUUUUUUUUUUUUGAGACGGAGUCUCAGUCUGUUGACCAGGCUCAAGUGCAAUGGCGUGGUCUUGGCUCACUGCAACCUCUGCCUCCCAGUUUAAGCAAUUAUCCUGCCUCAGCCUCCUGACUAGCUG
rnacentral:lncRNA from 1 species